CUUGUUCUUCCAACAUAUAUAUAUAUAUAUAAGAUCUCCCUCCCCAGGGACAGCAAGCAUUCUGUGACUUUUCGGCCAUCGAUUAUUUUAGAGAGUGAUGUUCAAAGGCGUGUCUUUGCUUUCCAAGCUGCGCUCUCGCAUUGGCGAGCAGUCUAGUCUCAAGAGUUCCGUUAGAUGGUUCCAAAUACAGAGCUCCUCUGAUCUUGUAAUC